AGGAUAUUAGUUAAAUUUAUAACAUUAAAUUUGCAAUUUAAAAUUGAUACUUAUACCAUACACAUAUCUUU
rnacentral:tRNA from 1 species